rnacentral:misc_RNA from 1 species
CACGAACUGCCCGAGCGUUAUUCGGAAUCACUGGGCUUACAGGGUGCGUAGGCGGCCGGACAGGUCGGGUGUGAAAGGCCUUGGCUCAACCAAGGCAUGGCGCCCGAAACCGUCAGGCUCGAGUCAGCUAGGGGUCCGCGGAACUUCCGGUGGAGCGGUGAAAUGUGUUGAUAUCGGAAGGAACGCCGGUGGCGAAAGCGGCGGACUGGGGCUGCACUGACGCUGAGGCACGAAAGCCAGGGGAGCAAACAGG